UACAGAGGGUGCAAGCGUUGUUCGGAAUUAUUGGGCGUAAAGCGCGUGUAGGCGGCUUUGCAAGUCGGGUGUGAAAGCCCUCAGCUUAACUGAGGAAGUGCGCCCGAAACUGCAGAGCUUGAAUACCGGAGAGGAUGGCGGAAUUCCCCAAGUAGAGGUGAAAUUCGUAGAUAUGGGGAGGAACACCGGUGGCGAAGGCGGCCAUCUGGACGGCUAUUGACGCUGAGACGCGAAAGCGUGGGAGCAAACAGG
rnacentral:rRNA from 1 species